rnacentral:rRNA from 1 species
GUAGGUGGCAAGCGUUGUCCGGAAUUAUUGGGCGUAAAGCGCGCGCAGGUGGUUCUUUAAGUCUGAUGUGAAAGCCCCCGGCUCAACCGGGGAGGGUCAUUGGAAACUGGGGAACUUGAGUGCAGGAGAGGAAAGUGGAAUUCCACGUGUAGCGGUGAAAUGCGUAGAUAUGUGGAGGAACACCAGUGGCGAAGGCGACUUUCUGGCCUGUAACUGACACUGAGGCGCGAAAGCGUGGGGAGCAAACAGGGAUUAGAUACCCUGGUAGUCCACGCCGUAAACGAUGAGUGCUAAGUGUUGGGGGGGUUUCCCGCCCCUCAGUGCUGCAGCUAACGCAUCAAGCACUCCGCCCUGGGAGUACGGUCGCAAGACUG